UCCUAAGAGUUGUAGCUGAUGUUGGUUUGAUUGGACUCCCAAAUGAUGGGAAAUCAACGCUUCUGGCAGCCAUUACACUUGCAAAACCCGAUAUCGCCGAUUAUCCUUUUACAACAUUAAUGCCAAAUCUUGGUCGCCUUGAUGGUCCAUGUUGUUGAUGCAUCUAUUGAAAACAUGACUACAGAACUGUCAGAGAAGUAUGUACAUUGCAUUUUAUAAAUUAGAAUCAGGUUUUUUGUUGGCUCAGCAGCUUUAAUCGAAUUUGUUGGUUGUUAUUGAAUGUAUUAUAGCUUUAAAUUUUUUUU